rnacentral:rRNA from 1 species
ACGGGAGGCAGCAGUGAGGAAUAUUGGUCAAUGGACGGAAGUCUGAACCAGCCAUCUCGCGUGCAGGAUUACAGCCCUAUGGGUUUUAAACUGCUUUUAUAAGGGGAUAAAGUUAGAUAUGUAUAUCUAUUUGCAGGUACCUUAUGAAUAAGGAUCGGCUAACUCCGUGCCAGCAGCCGCGGUAAUACGGAGGAUCCGAGCGUUAUCCGGAUUUAUUGGGUUUAAAGGGUGCGCAGGCGGCCCGUUAAGUCAGCGGUGAAAUGUCGGGGCUCAACCCGGGCACUGCCGUUGAAACUGGGGGGCUUGAGUACGGAUGAGGUCGGCGGAAUGUGACGUGUAGCGGUGAAAUGCAUAGAUAUGUCACAGAACACCGAUUGCGAAGGCAGCCGGCCAAUCCGCAACUGACGCUCAUGCACGAAAGCGUGGGGAUCGAACAGGAUUAGAUACCCUGGUA